rnacentral:rRNA from 1 species
GACGAACGCUGGCGGCGUGCUUAACACAUGCAAGUCGAGCGGAAAGGCCACUUCGGUGGUACUCGAGCGGCGAACGGGUGAGUAACACGUGAGUAAUCUGCCCCUGGCUUUGGGAUAGCCACCGGAAACGGUGAUUAAUACCGGAUACGACCACUUCUCGCAUGGGAUGGUGGUGGAAAGUUUUUUCGGCCAGGGAUGUGCUCGCGGCCUAUCAGCUUGAUGGUGAGGUAAUGGCUCACCAUGGCUUCGACGGGUAGCCGGCCUGAGAGGGUGACCGGUCACACUGGGACUGGGACACGGCCCAGACUCCUACGGGAGGCAGCAGUGGGGAAUAUUGGACAAUGGGCGGAAGCCUGAUCCAGCAACGCCGCGUGAGGGAUGACGGCCUUCGGGUUGUAAACCUCUUUCAGCAGGGACGGAGCGCAAGUGACGGUACCUGCAGAAGAAGCACCGGCCAACUACGUGCCAGCAGCCGCGGUAA